rnacentral:rRNA from 1 species
UACAGAGGUCCCAAGCGUUGUUCGGAUUUACUGGGCGUAAAGGGUUCGUAGGUGGCUUACUAAGUCAGACGUGAAAUCCCUCAGCUUAACUGGGGAACUGCGUCCGAUACUGGAUGGCUUGAGUUUGGGAGAGGGAUGCGGAAUUCCAGGUGUAGCGGUGAAAUGCGUAGAGAUCGGGCGGAACACCAGCGGCGAAGGCGGCAUCCUGGCCCUAUCCUGACGCUGAGGCGCGAGAGCGUGGGGAGCAAACCGG